CGGCGGACGGGUGAGUAACACGUGGAUAACCUACCUAUAAGACUGGGAUAACUUCGGGAAACCGGAGCUAAUACCGGAUAAUAUUUUGAACCGCAUGGUUCAAAAGUGAAAGACGGUCUUGCUGUCACUUAUAGAUGGAUCCGCGCUGCAUUAGCUAGUUGGUAAGGUAACGGCUUACCAAGGCAACGAUGCAUAGCCGACCUGAGAGGGUGAUCGGCCACACUGGAACUGAGACACGGCCCAG
rnacentral:rRNA from 1 species